CCAGAGCCCCAACUCCUUCCCUACUCACCUCCCAGAGCCCCAACUCCUUCCUCACUCACCUCCCAGAGCNNNNNNNNNNAGCCCCAACUCCUUCCUCACUCACCUCCCAGAGCCCCAACUCCUUCCCCACUCACCUCCCAGAGCCCCAACUCCUUCCCUACUCACCUCCCAGAGCCCCAACUCCUUCCCUACUCACCUCCCAGAGCCCCAGCUCCCUCCUCACUCGCCUCCCUGCCUCCCACAGGUAUUUCUGCAUAAAUACAAGAGGAAAGAGGAGGAAGACUCCACUCUGCCGGACAAGAAAUCAGCCUUCUCCAAGGGGCUGCUCUCCAGCCAGAAGCUGUCUUACCAGAACGGCCACACUGGGAGCCUCUUCUCCUCCUCCUCCUCCUCCUCCUCCUCCUCGUCCCCAUCCUCCUCCUGCCCGUCCUCCCCUCCGGCCGUGUCCGGCUCCGCUCUGUGCGUCGGCUCCCCCUGCGACGUCUCCCUCCGCAUCGUGGUGGCAGAGCCGGAGCCGGGCGCUCCUGGCCGGGGGAUCUGCCUGGACCUGGCCAUCCUGGACAGCGCUUUCCUCCUCUCCCAGGUGGUGCCCUCGCUCCUCAUGGGCUCCAUCGUCCAGUUCACCCAGUCCGUCACGGCCUACAUGGUGUCGGCUGCCGGGCUCGGCCUGGUCGCCAUCUACUUCGCAACCAAAGUUGUCUUUGACAAGGGUGACAUGGCCAAGUGCUCCGUGUGACAGCAGGGCAGCCUCGGGGCUGGCAGUGCCAGCUCUGUGUGUGUGAGUGCCCACAGGGCCACUUGUGGGGUGCCUGGCGUGGCACCGGCCGUCCCCAGGCUGCUGCUGUCACCCCAGGGUGGCUCUGGGGCUGGGGCAGCACGGGGUUAAUCUCAGGUGUAAAUAAGAGGCUUUGGGGCGUUGUCCUCAGGGCCUGAAGGGCUUCCCAAAGGUGCCUUUAGCAGAGGGGCACAGCAGCACCAAAGGGGUUCUGCAGAGGGGAGAAGGGAAUUGGGGUUUCCCUCUGAUAACGGGUCGUGUUCCUGAGCAGGAGCAGCACAGGGAGGGGAUCAGCCACUGCCUGCUCUCCUCUCCUCCUCCUCUCCUCUCCCUCUCCUCUCC
rnacentral:lncRNA from 1 species